ACAGAGGUGGCAAGCGUUGUUCGGAUUUACUGGGUGUAAAGGAUAUGUAGGUGUCCUGUUAAGUCGGAUGUGAAAUCCCUUGGCUCAACCAAGGAACUGCAUCCGAUACUGGCAGGAUUGAGUACGGGAGAGGUAAGCGGAAUUCCACAAGUAACGGUGAAAUGUGUAGAUAUGUGGAGGAACACCAUUAGCGUAAGCGGCUUACUGGAACGAUACUGACACUGAAAUAUGAAAGCUAGGGGAGCAAACAG
rnacentral:rRNA from 1 species